rnacentral:rRNA from 1 species
UUAGCCGGUGCUUCCUUUGUGGGUACCGUCACUAUCUUCCCCACUGACAGAUCUUUACAUCCCGAAAGACUUCAUCAAUCACGAGGCGUCGCUGCGUCAGAGUUUCCUCCAUUGCGCAAAAUUCCUC